CCGUGUACCGUCCUGUUGCAGACUGGGACCAAAUAAAGCACUGAUAAUAACACUACUACUUCACACGUAUAGCACCUUUACAAUCUACAGAGUAUUUUUACUCUCAUUUUCUCACUUGUCCCUUUAAAACACCAUGGUGAGUUAGUCAGCAGUGAUGCUUCCUUAUCUCACCUCCAUAGAAGCACUGGGCCGGCCUAAGAGCGUGGGAGGCUGAAGAAUCCAGCACAUGUGAAUAGUAACCUUGCCCUGGGAUCCCUCUGUUCCUCUGGCCUCCAUCUCUUCUCCCUUGGGCAGGCUGGAUGCUGCAAAAGACACAGUAAGCAGAGAAGGCGUAAAGGAUCACUCGAGACAGAACUUAGGGCCUGGGAAUUUUGGAUUAGGGCACCUCUGAAAGGAAUGCCCCCACCUCCCUUGGCUUGAGGGUCAUGCCUAUUGGUGGCUUCUGCUCCUUGAUUUCCUGCCACCCUGAGGGCUGACUAGGACCUUAGCAUGUAAAGCAUGAAAGAGGCAGCUCUCCAUCCCCCAGCUUGGUGUAGACACAACUUUGGAGGAAAUUCUGAGGUUCCUCCCAUCUUUCUUCUCCAAGUACCACUUACCAGUUCUCUGCUGAAUCUCCUUGUAAGCCCACUUUUGUCCCCGUAUCCUUUAUACAAAAGACCUCCAACCCUCCAUCUCCCCUGAAUUUUUAAUCUUUCCUUUUUAUCAAGGAGCUGUGAGUUUGUGAUAAGGGUGGAUGAUAAAAAGGAAAGCCAGCCAUACUUUUCCCUCCAAAGGGGGCCCAGAGUUUGAUCCUGGUCAGGGAACUAAAUCCUACACGCCACAACUAAUUGUUCGCGUGCUGCCGCUGGAAGAUCCUGCAUGCUGCAGCAAAGACUGAAGACGAUCCCACAUGGUGAAUCUAAGACCCUGCGCAGCCAAGUAAAUAAACUCUAAAAAAAUAAAACAAAUCUCAGAUCUUUCUAACCUCAAAGUCUAUGUUCUUUACCAACAUCUCAUCCUGCCUCAUGUCUUGCCUUCAUUCCACAUAAUUGGUUUGAUAAUCUCACUACCCCUGGAAACCUGAGAUUAAAUA
ensembl:lncRNA